GACGUAGGGGGCGAGCGUUGUCCGGAUUUAUUGGGCGUAAAGAGCGCGUAGGCGGCCUGGAAAGUCGGAUGUGAAAACCCGGGGCUCAACCCCGGGCCUGCACCCGAUACUUCCGGGCUAGAGGCAGGUAGGGGAGAGUGGAAUUCCCGGUGUAGCAGUGAAAUGCGUAGAUAUCGGAAGGAACACCAGUGGCGAAAGCGGCUUCCUGGUCCAGCACCGACGUUCAGGCACGAAAGCGUGGGGAGCAAACAGG
rnacentral:rRNA from 1 species